rnacentral:rRNA from 1 species
GAUGAACGCUAGCGGCAGGCCUAACACAUGCAAGUCGAGGGAGGAGCCUUCGGGCUUCGACCGGCGUACGGGUGCGUAACGCGUAUACAAUCUGCCUUUCACAUAGGGAUAGCCCGAAGAAAUUUGGAUUAAUACCUAAUGGUAUAUAGAUGUGGCAUCACCUUUAUAUUAAAGCUGAGGCGGUGAAAGAUGAGUAUGCGUUCUAUUAGCUAGUUGGAGAGGUAACGGCUCCCCAAGGCGACGAUAGAUAGGGGUUCUGAGAGGGAUAUCCCCCACACUGGUACUGGGAUACGGACCAGACUCCUACGGGAGGCAGCAGUGAGGAAUAUUGGACAAUGGUCGGAAGACUGAUCCAGCCAUGCCGCGUGCAGGAAGACGGCCUUAUGGGUUGUAAACUGCUUUUGCAGGGGAAGAAUAAGGACUACGCGUAGUUUGAUGACGGUACUCUGCGAAUAAGCAUCGGCUAACUCCGUG